CUGUAAACAUUUUCUUUUUUCAAUCUCAAUUUUGAACCAUUUUUUUCUCCUUCUUAAGUGGUAAUGAUAAUCUGAAAAACCCCUAAAUCGAAUAUUGAAUCUUGUUUUCCUGCUGGUAAAUGAUAAUCUCAAAAACUUGUGACUGUAGUUGGUUGUUUGAGUCUGAUUUAGUAUUUGAAAACCCAGAUCUAGUUUUGUUUUACUGAAGCUUUGAGCGGUGAAGAUCGAGCAUAGCUUGUAGGUACUCUUAAGGGUAAGCUAAUGCCAUUGUCACAAGGAGCAAAAUCUGAAUUUCUUGAUUCCCUUUCAAUAAACGUGUUGAAGCUCCGCAAGAGAUUCAGGAAAGCAUCUCCAGAAUCUUUAAUGUUGCACGUCGAUCAGCUCACUAGGAAUGUGAAUGAGGGACAUCUGAAGGAGAUUUUUGCAAUGGGUGCUUCUCUGAGUGCCUAAGAAGGUCUUUUGAGAAACACCAUAGAUUUCUAUGUCCCAGUGUCGUGGAACUGUACGAUUUGUUGGUAGAAACCACUUUUUGCAUAACAUCGAGGAGGAAAUACUACAUGCUGACUCUUAACUAAGACGUGGAAGUGAUUAAACCACCUCGUUGAAUAAAUGUGCUUCCAUUAAAUCAAAUCUUGUCAUUAACUCAGCUAAAAGGUCAAGGUGGAAAAGACCACAUUCACCAUCACCGACAGAGGAAAAUGAAGCUGCAGAUAUUUCAUGUCCUCAAUGUGUGUUGGAGUUGAACAAUAUCUGAUUUUUGAAUGGAAAGUAGUUGCAGUGAGGAAAAAGGAUGUUGCGGAGUCGUCAUCAUCUUUGGACAAUCACUAAUUCAAAGAUAAGUUUUUGUUUCCGUUUGUUCAACCCUUUACAUAAUAUUUAUAUGAAAACCUAUGCAUUUGAGCUCGACAAGAACUGAUGCAAUGCAUUAUAAUGCAAACCAUGAUAUGUAGAAUGAAUCUGAAGGGAUGGAGAGCUAUAGCCGUUGUUGAAUAUUAACCACAAUUACAGCUGUCAAAACUUGCACAAGACAAGCUAAAAAAGUCAUGGUGAAUAGCUGCAAAGCUUUAAACUGGGUUUGUGCAUCUUGACUGUCGGAAGAAGAUUCUCCAUGAUAACUGAUAGCCGAACCUGGCUGCUGAGUUUAGCCAAUUUGUUAUCUUAAGCUCGUAAUUAUAUGAAUGUAGGUUAAGGUUUUCCAACUUACUGUUAGAAUUUUUUGGGACUUUGAACUUGCAGUAUUUUAGAUAGUUGAAAUUAUAAACUGAAUACACUUUAAGUACAAAUUGAGUUUUAAGGUUAUUAUCAAUUUAAUUUUGUUAAGUUCA